rnacentral:misc_RNA from 1 species
AAUUCAUCAACCAUGUCUUGGACUCAUUCCUAGACAUGGCUUGGACUUGGGGGCUUGCCGGUCUUUCACGAUCGGCUCUCCUUAAAUGCAUUAGCGAAGCAUCCGAGGCUUGUCUUCUUUGGCGUGCAUGGCUUGGACGUGAUAGUGAUAGAUCGUCCUGGCUUGUAGCGUCGAGACAACUCGGGCACUUUGCUUCCAAUCCAUCCGACGGGUCAUCAUCUUACCAGAGGAGACUUUAGUUAUUAGUGGACAUGAACACGGUUGGGCUAGAAGCCCCAUCGCUAUUAGUCGAGACGAACGCAGAGCUCUUUCAAUGGUUAGACGUCCCAUCCGAUUUUUUACAC